AUGUGUCAGGCUGAGCGUGCGAUCCGGGGUGCGUGUGUCCGGCCAAGCUUGCGAUGCAGGUGCGAGUGUGAUGUGGGUGCAUGUGUCAGGCUGAGCGUGCGAUGCAGGUGCAUGUGUCAGGCUGAGCGUGCGAUGCAGGUGUGUGUGUCCAGCCGAGCGUGCAAUGCAGGUGAGAGUGUGAUGCGUGUGUGUGUGUCAGGCUGAGCGUGCGACGCAGGUG
rnacentral:lncRNA from 1 species